GAAAGGGCGCACGGUGGAUGCCUUGACACUAGGAGUCGAUGAAGGACGGGACUAACGCCGAUAUGCUUCGGGGAGCUGUAAGUAAGCUUUGAUCCGAAGAUUUCCGAAUGGGGAAACCCACCAUACGUAAUGGUAUGGUAUCCUUAUCUGAAUACAUAGGGUAAGGAAGACAGACCCAGGGAACUGAAACAUCUAAGUACCUGGAGGAAGAGAAAGCAAAUGCGAUUUCCUGAGUAGCGGCGAGCGAAACGGAACAUAGCCCAAACCAAGAGGCUUGCCUCUUGGGGUUGUAGGACAUUCUAUACGGAGUUACAAAGGAACGAGGUAGACGAAGCGACCUGGAAAGGUCCGUCGUAGAGGGUAACAACCCCGUAGUCGAAACUUCGUUCUCUCUUGAAUGUAUCCUGAGUACGGCGGAACACGUGAAAUUCCGUCGGAAUCUGGGAGGACCAUCUCCCAAGGCUAAAUACUCCCUAGUGAUCGAUAGUGAACCAGUACCGUGAGGGAAAGGUGAAAAGCACCCCGGAAGGGGAGUGAAAGAGAUCCUGAAACCGUGUGCCUACAAAUAGUCAGAGCCCGUUAACGGGUGAUGGCGUGCCUUUUGUAGAAUGAACCGGCGAGUUACGAUCCCGUGCGAGGUUAAGCUGAAGAGGCGGAGCCGCAGCGAAAGCGAGUCUGAAUAGGGCGUUUAGUACGUGGUCGUAGACCCGAAACCAGGUGAUCUACCCAUGUCCAGGGUGAAGUUCAGGUAACACUGAAUGGAGGCCCGAACCCACGCACGUUGAAAAGUGCGGGGAUGAGGUGUGGGUAGCGGAGAAAUUCCAAUCGAACCUGGAGAUAGCUGGUUCUCCCCGAAAUAGCUUUAGGGCUAGCCUUAAGUGUAAGAGUCUUGGAGGUAGAGCACUGAUUGGACUAGGGGUCCUCAUCGGAUUACCGAAUUCAGUCAAACUCCGAAUGCCAAUGACUUAUCCUUAGGAGUCAGACUGCGAGUGAUAAGAUCCGUAGUCAAAAGGGAAACAGCCCAGACCGCCAGCUAAGGUCCCAAAGUGUGUAUUAAGUGGAAAAGGAUGUGGAGUUGCUUAGACAACUAGGAUGUUGGCUUAGAAGCAGCCACCAUUUAAAGAGUGCGUAAUAGCUCACUAGUCGAGUGACUCUGCGCCGAAAAUGUACCGGGGCUAAAUACACCACCGAAGCUGCGGAUUGAUACCAAUGGUAUCAGUGGUAGGGGAGCGUUCUAAGGACAGUGAAGUCAGACCGGAAGGACUGGUGGAGUGCUUAGAAGUGAGAAUGCCGGUAUGAGUAGCGAAAGACGGGUGAGAAUCCCGUCCACCGAAUGCCUAAGGUUUCCUGAGGAAGGCUCGUCCGCUCAGGGUUAGUCAGGACCUAAGCCGAGGCCGACAGGCGUAGGCGAUGGACAACAGGUUGAUAUUCCUGUACCACCUCUUUAUCGUUUGAGCAAUGGAGGGACGCAGAAGGAUAGAAGAAGCGUGCGAUUGGUUGUGCACGUCCAAGCAGUUAGGCUGAUAAGUAGGCAAAUCCGCUUAUCGUAAAGGCUGAGCUGUGAUGGGGAAGCUCCUUAUGGAGCGAAGUCUUUGAUUCCCCGCUGCCAAGAAAAGCUUCUAGCGAGAUAAAAGGUGCCUGUACCGCAAACCGACACAGGUAGGCGAGGAGAGAAUCCUAAGGUGUGCGAGAGAACUCUGGUUAAGGAACUCGGCAAAAUGACCCCGUAACUUCGGGAGAAGGGGUGCUUUCUUAACGGAAAGCCGCAGUGAAUAGGCCCAAGCGACUGUUUAGCAAAAACACAGCUCUCUGCGAAGCCGUAAGGCGAAGUAUAGGGGGUGACACCUGCCCGGUGCUGGAAGGUUAAGGAGAGGGGUUAGCGUAAGCGAAGCUCUGAACUGAAGCCCCAGUAAACGGCGGCCGUAACUAUAACGGUCCUAAGGUAGCGAAAUUCCUUGUCGGGUAAGUUCCGACCCGCACGAAAGGUGUAACGAUUUGGGCACUGUCUCAACCAGAGACUCGGUGAAAUUAUAGUACCUGUGAAGAUGCAGGUUACCCGCGACAGGACGGAAAGACCCCGUGGAGCUUUACUGUAGCCUGAUAUUGAAUUUUGGUACAGUUUGUACAGGAUAGGCGGGAGCCUUUGAAACCGGAGCGCUAGCUUCGGUGGAGGCGCUGGUGGGAUACCGCCCUGACUGUAUUGAAAUUCUAACCUACGGGUCUUAUCGACCCGGGAGACAGUGUCAGGUGGGCAGUUUGACUGGGGCGGUCGCCUCCUAAAGUGUAACGGAGGCGCCCAAAGGUUCCCUCAGAAUGGUUGGAAAUCAUUCGUAGAGUGCAAAGGCAUAAGGGAGCUUGACUGCGAGACCUACAAGUCGAGCAGGGACGAAAGUCGGGCUUAGUGAUCCGGUGGUUCCGCAUGGAAGGGCCAUCGCUCAACGGAUAAAAGCUACCCCGGGGAUAACAGGCUUAUCUCCCCCAAGAGUCCACAUCGACGGGGAGGUUUGGCACCUCGAUGUCGGCUCAUCGCAUCCUGGGGCUGUAGUCGGUCCCAAGGGUUGGGCUGUUCGCCCAUUAAAGCGGUACGCGAGCUGGGUUCAGAACGUCGUGAGACAGUUCGGUCCCUAUCCGUCGUGGGCGUAGGAAAUUUGAGAGGAGCUGUCCUUAGUACGAGAGGACCGGGAUGGACGCACCGCUGGUGUACCAGUUGUUCUGCCAAGGGCAUAGCUGGGUAGCUAUGUGCGGAAGGGAUAAGUGCUGAAAGCAUCUAAGCAUGAAGCCCCCCUCAAGAUGAGAUUUCCCAUAGCGUAAGCUAGUAAGAUCCCUGAAAGAUGAUCAGGUUGAUAGGUUCGAGGUGGAAGCAUGGUGACAUGUGGAGCUGACGAAUACUAAUAGAUCGAGGACUUAACC
rnacentral:rRNA from 1 species